CUUGGGAGAACAUCAGUAUGAGCGAGCGUUUGAAGAGAGAGCACAGUGACCAACAGUCCAAAGUUAAAGCCACACUGAUGGAGUAAAGAGGAACAACACCGGACACCAAAACUGUUCAAAACCUAACACUGAAACUGUGUGAGAUAGAGGAAACUCUCAACAACAAGGUCAACAGAUACAACUUUUGUGAGAGAAAACCUGUGUAGCUCAACAAACUACCAUCAAUGAUGUGACAAUUCAACUUGAUCAUCUCAUCUAUGUUGGAUGAAUGAUUACUUGACAACAAGACUUCUAGGACACGUCAUGUCACCAGAGUUCACCAACAUGCUUCAUGCAGCCGUUUCUGAUUCUCUUUGUAUCAUUUCUAUGGCGAGUGUCGUGCGCACUAUGCAGACACAGCAGCAGAACACAGCAGUCAACAGUUCCACAGUCAUGUAUGUUUUGUCUCUACUCACCCCAUCGAUGUGGGGCACCCCCCCACUGCACUCCACGCAGCAGGCUUGUUGGAUCAACUCCCUGGCAGCCUCCUCCUCUCCUUCUUCAUAUGCUUCUUGGAUGUUCUCCAGAGUGAGAGAAGGAACCAGCGGAGAGCAGUGCACCGGACUCUUCAUCAGCGAUUCCUUGGCCCCCAUUUCUUCCCCCGGCCCUGCCAGCACAGAGGACGGACACAGGGGGGAGAACCGUCGUCAAACAGGAGUUAAAAAAAGAGCAUUUGUGCAGAGAGACGGGAUCAGGCUGCAGGUUGAACACAUUGUGUUACUGUAGUCUUGAUAGCAGCAUAUGCCCAGAACUAGGUCACCCUAUUAAAGAAUUCUCUCACUGGUACAGCUGAGUGGAUUAGUGUGAACCGUGAAACAGCGUCUGGUGGCAGGUGGAAUAAAAUCCUGACAAUGAACUCAAAUCACACUGAUAUGGUUUUUAAGAGCAGAUACAAACACUCUGAGCUGAAGUAAAGGGACUGAAUGUUUGUGUUUCUUAAGGAAUGCUGCGCAAACCAGCUUCUCUGUUGAUUUCUCAGAUCACAGCCUGCAGUCAGAUAAAGUUAGGUCUCAGGUGAAGCCAAGUAUGACUGUCACUGAAGGUUUAAGGCUGGUCCCAGUGUGGUAGUAAAACACGACACAGUCCAGCUCCAUAACCGUGUUAUUAUUUCAACACCUCAUUGUUCUGGAUUACUCCUGUAAAGUGUGAUUGUCACUGUGCAAACCACUGAAUUUUCCACAACAAUU